ensembl:lncRNA
GCUCAGCCAGCUUUUUAGGUGCCUAUUGUGCAGGCUGCCUUCUAUGCCCAGUGGGAUAUCUGUGAUACUGUUGUGUUAAUGUGCUUCAGCUUUCUGCAGUUUUUACUGCCACAUUUUCCUCCUCUGGCUGCAAUCAACCUGAAGUUUCUGGUGUGUCAGUGGAAUAAAAGAGAAAGAGGUGGGAUGUAUAUAGCAAGCCAGACUGGAAGUAGAGUAAUAACAAAGUGAUAUUUUCAGAAGAAACAGCAGCUAAGCAGAGCCCCCGUGCAGCCCAGAAGCUCAGCAUGGGCCUGUCUAAGCCUAUAUGCUGUAAUGGGGGUGCCAUGCAGCCUCUUCAGGACCUACCCAUGGCUGCCUUCCUAAUGGGAGUUCAACUUCUUUGUGAGGGAAGGAAGAGGGAAGAGACGGAAAGCUGCUAGGGGUGAAGGUGUGGUAGCUGAUAGCCUGCUCUGAAAGGUCUAAUAUGAACAGUAGCUUCUUCUGAGCCCAUGCUCCACCCUACCAUACACUGCCAGAACAGGCGAAAUGCUGGAAGCUUCAGGGUAACUCUCCCAGUUCAACUCAAGGCACCAUCUCCAGGACCUUUGCAACAGAGAAUCCUGUGUCUGUCCAGACAGCAACUGACCAUCCAGUUUAACAUUUUGAUUCCCCAAGUGAGUGUUACCCUGUGUCAAGGGCUUGUUAAUUUAUUUAACAAACAAUCUCUCCAUGGACAUUUAUUCAGUAAUAUGAUAUAUGUACUUACAAAGACACCAACCCACUAUGAAACUGCAAUUCUACUUAAGACACAUCGGUGGGAAAAAGCCCAGGGCAUCCAUCUGCAGGUAUGCAGUACUCUGGAGAAGCUGGCUAAUAUAUUAGUCUUCAUUUCCAAACUGAAGGAAAAUAGGACCAGACAUGUUUUAUUCAAUGAGAAGUUCUUGUGAAGUGUGCUGCAUCUCCUCCCCACUGCUGGGUGUGACUGGAAAAUUUGUUUCGUGAC